rnacentral:tRNA from 1 species
UCUCCGUUAGUAUAUCGGUUAGUACACGCGCCUGUCACUCUGCGGUGCGCGCGAAAGCGGGGUUCGACUCCCCGACAGAGAG